ACUCUUACCCUUCAUUAAUCCUUGUACUCUCAAGUCCUCACUCUUGUCCCUAAAUGUUGUCCAUAUCUUCUUAUUUGUAGAUGAAGCUUGCAUCAACCUUUGAGACAACGAUACUGAAGGCGGGUUCAACGAGGGUGUUGUCUACUUCAUCUUUGAACACCAACCGUUAGAUCUGAAGGUCCAUCUUUGAGGGUUUUUUCAGGAACCAAAGAGAAUUUCUUGAGAAUUAGUCUAGAAGGGGGCUAAUUUUAAGGAAACCCGAGGGAAGGUCACAUUUUAGGCUGAUGUGACCGGUUCAACUGAACCAACAACGUCAUCGUUUUCUUUCACAGACAGUGGAAGAAGACGAUUCGUGCCAAUGCUCCUCCAUUUGAAAACGACAUUCCCUUGGCCUUGAUUUCUUUAUGAAGCUUGUAGAUGCUGAAUCAAGGAAGAGAAUGAGGUCGAUUUCAUACCUUGGCGUGCACUAUAGCUCGAGUUAUUAACCAUAAAAGUUUGUUGGAAAAUUUAAUCCUCACGGGAGCAAAACCCAAAUUUGGUCAUGAUAUAGGUCUCCUUAGGGUCGUGUACUUGUUCCGACAUUUGCCCCUUGACUGUCUUGUCAACAUUCUUUAUUGAGAAUGACAAGUCUUCCUUGGUCUUCCUUAAUCCUCGUAAAUACCGUUGACCUUCACUAAACGAAUCAGGAAAGAAUUCUUGGCUAGGGGCAUUUUUGUAAAUAAUUGGAAACUCAGGGGUAUUUCGGUAAAUUGCUACAUUUUGAACAUUUUAUUCUAAAAAAUCCUAACUUUUUCAAAAAAAAAAAAAAACAAUGGCCCUUUUUGGCUUCUUGAAAU